rnacentral:rRNA from 1 species
GACGAACGCUGGCGGCGUGCCUAAUACAUGCAAGCCGAACGAGAGCGACCGGUGCUUGCACUGGUCAAUCUAGUGGCGGACGGGUGAGUAACACGUAGGUAACCUGCCCAUCAGAGGGGGAUAACAUUGGGAAACGGAUGCUAAAACCGCAUAAGACUUCGAACCGGAUGGUUUAAAGGGGAAAAGAGGCGCAAGCUUCUGCUGGUGGCUGGACCCGCGGUGCAUUAGCUCGUUGGGGAGGUAACGGCUCACCAAGGCCGUGAUGCAUAGGCGACCUGAGAGGGUGGUUCGCCACAAUUGGACUGAGGCACGGCCCAAACUCCUACGGGAAGGAACAGUAGGGAAUCAUCCGCAAUUGGCGGAAGUCUGACGGAGCAACGACGGGUGAGUGAAGGAGGUUUUCGGAGCGUAAAACUCUGUUUGUAGAGAAGGAUAAGUGCUAGAUUAACUGUUAGCGCCUUGACGGUAUCUAACCAGAAAGGCACGGCUAACUACGUG